rnacentral:rRNA from 1 species
UACGAAGGGGGGCUAGCGUUGCUCGGAAUGACUGGGCGUAAAGGGCGCGUAGGCGGCUCAUACAGUCAGGCGUGAAAUUCCUGGGCUCAACCUGGGGACUGCGCUUGAGACGUGUGGGCUUGAGUGAGGAAGAGGGUCGUGGAAUUCCCAGUGUAGAGGUGAAAUUCGUAGAUAUCGGGAGGAACACCGGUGGCGAAGGCGGCGAUCUGGGGUCGAUACUGACGCUGAGGUGCGAAAGCGUGGGGAGCAAACAGG